ACCAGCUCUGCCAUCUGAGAGGAUACUUUGGCACGGCGAGGCUUGGCUCACCUUGGCACCAAGGUCAAGAGGACAAAGGCUCGAGAAGGACGGGAAUCCAGCUCGACCGCGACGACAGCCUCAGACCGUUGCUGAACACACCGAGGGCUUCAGUAAGUAUUAAAGCAAAGACGGGAAGCGAAGAAUAAACAUUUAAGAGCUCCGGCUCCCUGAGACUCUUGGGAUUUAUCCGUUCCUGAGGGCUACGCUUCUGCACAGCCAUCUGGAGGAGAAGGAGAGACGAGGUUCAAGGAAAACUGUCACGAAGAUAAAUCCUGCCACGGAUACAGUUCAUUUCAAGAAGCUCGACAUUUUAUUAAUAAAAAAGACGUUUUGUAUCUUGAUUGUAUCUUGACCUAAUAAGCAUCAUGUCCCACUUUUUCACAGUUUGAAAAAUAAUGUAAGCGUUUAUUUGUGUUCCUUUUUAUGUCAAAAAUCUUUUCUAACAAAGAAAUGCAACAUAUUUUAUAAAAACAGACUACAAAGUUAAGUCCGAACUCGUCAUGUUUAGACUCCACUCACCCUUUAUCAGAAAGCACAUCAUUCAGGCCUUUUUAAUACUGGUGCAGAAAAUGGUCAGUACUAUCAUACUCCUUUCAUUUUUUUGAGGUCUAUUAACAUUUUAUUUUAAUCUACUAGUAUAUAGAUAUAUAUAUAUAUAUAGCUCCCAUCAUUACAGGAUUUUAAGAGUACUUAAUUUAUUAAACGUUGUAUUUAAAAUAUAGAAAAGAGUCGUGGUAAAUAUGCACUUACCAAAACUAAGUCACACCUUGAUUCAUGAAUAUAUUUAGGGAAAAGUAUAUAACAAAUGUCUAGUAUGUGAGACUGGAUUUAGAUCUUAUCUUCGGUGUCUGGCAGAUUUUGAUAACGUCAGUUAAUCUCCGUCUUCAUUGGUGAGUGAAGUAACGCAGCACCAACAAAGUUGCUGUGUUUCUCUAAUUUGCAUUUAAUUGAGGGUUAAUGCCACUGAACCUCUGGACAGAAGACUUCUCUUCUCACAUGCAAAGGUCUUGUCUGGAGUGAUUGUGUUUAGAUGGCGUAAUACAUCACCUGUGCUACACCUGUGACGACUUCCACGGUCGAUGAUGAAUACAGCUGAAACACUGCAGCAUUCUCCUUUCAGCUGAACUAAAUAUAUUUUUCUCAUUCAUGAAUUUUCUUUUUUACAGCAAGUGGAUGUAUUUAAUGAGUUGAGCAAAAGUUGUCCCCUACUCUGUAAUCACAAGUGCUGUCACUGACUAUUAAAAACCUCUUUCCGUCGACCUCUAACCUCUCCUUCCAUCUAGAAUUAACAAAUGAAUUAACUUUGUUUUAAAUUCUAUUGACACCCUGCGGUGCCGCGGCUCCGAAAGUGAUAUAGAAGCGACUGAAUGUAACACAAUGGCUUUUUACUCUAAAGAUAAUAAAAAGAACAGGGGAAGAUAAUGA